rnacentral:rRNA from 1 species
GACGAACGCUGGCGGCGUGCCUAAUACAUGCAAGUCGAGCGAGCUUGCCUAGAUGAAUUUGGUGCUUGCACCAAAUGAAACUAGAUACAAGCGAGCGGCGGACGGGUGAGUAACACGUGGGUAACCUGCCCAAGAGACUGGGAUAACACCUGGAAGCAGAUGCUAAUACCGGAUAACAACACUAGACGCAUGUCUAGAGUUUAAAAGAUGGUUCUGCUAUCACUCUUGGAUGGACCUGCGGUGCAUUAGCUAGUUGGUAAGGUAACGGCUUACCAAGGCAAUGAUGCAUAGCCGAGUUGAGAGACUGAUCGGCCACAUUGGGACUGAGACACGGCCCAAACUCCUACGGGAGGCAGCAGUAGGGAAUCUUCCACAAUGGACGCAAGUCUGAUGGAGCAACGCCGCGUGAGUGAAGAAGGGUUUCGGCUCGUAAAGCUCUGUUGGUAGUGAAGAAAGAUAGAGGUAGUAACUGGCCUUUAUUUGACGGUAAUUACUUAGAAAGUCACGGCUAACUACGUGCCAGCAGCCGCGGUAAUACGUAGGUGGCAAGCGUUGUCCGGAUUUAUUGGGCGUAAAGCGAGUGCAGGCGGUUCAAUAAGUCUGAUGUGAAAGCCUUCGGCUCAACCGGAGAAUUGCAUCAGAAACUGUUGAACUUGAGUGCAGAAGAGGAGAGUGGAACUCCAUGUGUAGCGGUGGAAUGCGUAGAUAUAUGGAAGAACACCAGUGGCGAAGGCGGCUCUCUGGUCUGCAACUGACGCUGAGGCUCGAAAGCAUGGGUAGCGAACAGG